GAGGGUAUAGCUCACUGCUAGAGUGCGUGCCUAGUGGGCACAAGGACCUGGGUUCAAGCACCCCAGCACCUCCA
rnacentral:tRNA from 1 species